GUGCUCGCUUUGGCAGCAUAUAUACUAAAACUGGAACGAUACAGAGAAGAUUAGCAUGGCCCCUGUGCAAGGAUGACACACAAAUUUGUGAAGCUUUCCGUAUUAAA
rnacentral:snRNA from 1 species